UCUCAACUCUGUGCUGCCCGCGCAGCCCACACACUCAUCCUGCCUGGCUGCUGCUUUGUGACGCCAGCAGCUCACCCUGCUUUGUUACAGCGGGUGGUUGCUGGGCCGGCCCCCUGCCUGCCAGCCUCUGGCGCACACUGGCGCUGGCGGUCGCAGAGGCCCCGACGCGCCCCGCCGGGCCUGCUGAGCUGCCCCCGGGCCGGGGUCCCUCCUGGCCACGCUGUGCCCAGGCGGUGCAGCGCUGCCUGUAUGACCUCCUUCCGGCGGCGCGGGGAAAAGGCGACCAUCUGCCUCCAGGAGCAUGUGGUCAUCGACAUGUACCCCGCACCCAUAUCUCUGGCUACUUCCUGCGGGAGCUCCCCCAUGACGCCCCCGCUUGCCUGGCCACCUCCGACGUCGCCCACGACGACGAGGAUGGGGACCAUCUCUUCGGAGCCUAAGGAUCCAGCCCAGGUCCCAGCCCUGCGCAGCCGCCCUCCAAGCUGCCAGAGGACUAGCUGGACGCCGAAGGCUACGAGAGGACGACUGCAGACCGCGGACCUUCGCCCACCGGUUGCGCCCGCUGCCCCAGGGCAGAAAGGACCACCCUCCUCCCGGACGGAGCCCCGAGCCCCAUGGAGCACGCAAGCGCCGGAGUCCCUGGGCCAAGGCAAGGACCUGAAGCCCAUGGACCACAGUGGGCUGUCAGACACCUGUGUCAAGCUGCACCUGCGGCCAGGAGCCAGGAAGCCCAAGCAAGCUGAGGAGGCCUCAGCCAUUCACCUCCAUGCGGAACAGCCAGUCUGUCCCACACCUGGGAUGCCUUCCAGCAUAACCUCCCUGCUGAUCUGGGGAAAGCCCUGGAGAAUUUCCAGGUUGGCAUUUUAUAAGAAGCAUUCUCAGCUGGAGGUUACUAUGAUGUACCAACAAAGAACUGUGGUCAGAUCACAUUGGAAAACAUUAUUAAACUAGUUUCUUUACUGCAGGACUUACCAGAGCCUUUAAUGUGCGGAUGGGCUGUUCCUUGACUGUCAGUAAGGGGGAUGAAGUAGGUAGCGUCUGCCCAAUGUAUUUGACCACAGAAUCCUCAUUCCCAAGAGGCCAACCACAAAUGCACGUAAGGCACCAGCACAACACGUGCAUCUAGGAGAGGAGAGAAAAAAAUACUAUUAAAUAAAAGCAUCAAAGUGACCUUGAGCCA
rnacentral:lncRNA from 1 species